rnacentral:rRNA from 1 species
AUUGAACGCUGGCGGCAGGCCUAACACAUGCAAGUCGAGCGGAUGAAGGGAGCUUGCUCCUGGAUUCAGCGGCGGACGGGUGAGUAAUGCCUAGGAAUCUGCCUGGCAGUGGGGGAUAACGUCCGGAAACGGGCGCUAAUACCGCAUACGUCCUUAGGGAGAAAGUGGGGGAUCUUCGGACCUCACGCUAUCAGAUGAGCCUAGGUCGGAUUAGCUAGUUGGUGGGGUAAAGGCCUACCAAGGCGACGAUCCGUAACUGGUCUGAGAGGAUGAUCAGUCACACUGGAACUGAGACACGGUCCAGACUCCUACGGGAGGCAGCAGUGGGGAAUAUUGGACAAUGGGCGAAAGCCUGAUCCAGCCAUGCCGCGUGUGUGAAGAAGGUCUUCGGAUUGUAAAGCACUUUAAGUUGGGAGGAAGAGCAGUAAGUUAAUACCUUGCUGUUUUGACGUUACCAACAGAAUAAGCACCGGCUAACUUCGUG